UUUAGUAAUAUUAAACACACUUUCCGAAAAAGAAAAAAAAAAAUAAACACAAUUUCCGAGAGAAAAUGGUGACCACCACCACAAGUGAAGCUCAGGCUAUAUCCAUGCCUGAAUAUGAUCGGAAAAGUGAAUUACAAGCCUUCGAUGAUUCAAAAACCGGAGUAAAAGGACUUGUAGAUGCUGGGGUAACCAAGAUCCCAAGUAUAUUUGUCCAUGACCAAAUUAAGCUUCAAGACAAGUCUGACUCUUGCAAUUCGCAGUUCAGUAUUCCAAUCAUAGACUUGCAAAACAUCAAUAAAGAUGAAACUCUUCGUCAUGAAAUCGUAGAAAAAGUUAGAGAUGCUUCUGAGAAGUGGGGUUUCUUUCAGGUGGUCAAUCAUGGAAUUCCGAUCAGUGUCAUGGACGAAAUGAUUGAUGGGGUUCGCAGGUUUCAUGAGCAAGAUACAGAGGUGAAGAAACAUUUCUAUUCGCGGGAUGUCACGAGAAGGUUUAUAUACAAUAGCAAUUUUGACCUGCAUCGUGCACCAUCAGCUAACUGGAGGGACACUACUUCUUGUGUUAUGGCUCCUCAUCCACCUGACCCUCAAGAAUUGCCUGCACUGUGCAGGGAUAUAAUGAUUGAGUACUCCAAGUAUUUAAUGGAAGUGGCACUUGUUCUGUUCGAAUUGCUCUCCGAGGCACUUGGCCUCGACUCCAAUUACCUGAAAGACAUGAAUUGUGCAGAGGGGCUUUUCCUCAUCGGCCAUUAUUACCCGGCAUGCCCUGAACCUGAACGGACUUUCGGCACUAGCAGUCACUCUGAUAGUGGUUUCUUUACCAUACUUCUACAGGACCAAUUGGGAGGCCUCCAAGUCCUCCAGGAAAAUCAAUGGGUUGAUGUCCCUCCUUUGCCUGGAGCUCUUGUGGUAAACAUUGCAGAUCUUCUACAGCUCAUUACCAAUGACAAGUUCAAGAGUGUGAACCACAGAGUGCUUGCCAAAAAGAGAGGCCCGAGAAUUUCAGUGGCAGGUUUUUUCAGAACUCAUUUUAGAGAAGAGAUUACAUCAAGAGUUUAUGGGCCGAUCAAGGAGUUACUAUCAAAAGAUAAACCCCCAAUCUACCGCGAGACUACGAUAAAAGAGUUCAUCACACACUACUACAAGAAAGGGCUCGAUGGAACAUCUUCACUGUCGAAGUUCAAGUUGUGCAACUAGGCCUAGGAGAGAUUUAUUGGCCAUCUUAGUUUUGAUUAAUUACUUCUGGUUUGGCUUAAGGUUUACCAAUAAAUUCCUUUCCUUGAGCCUUGGAUGUGUGACUAUAUGUGUCCUAUAUUCCAAUAAAAUGUUGUUGUAAUGUUGUGAUAUAUAUGUAUAUAUAUAUAAUUAAUGUUAAAAGAAAAAGAAAUAAAAUAAGUGGGUCCCACCACUAUAUUAAAACAUCAAAAAGGCCAUAUGGCCAUUUCGCAGAUCAUUAGCUUCUCUAUCUCUCUUUGCUGCAUCAUUCUCACCUCGGCAGUUUCUUUUUCUUUUUUCUUUUUGCAAGUUCAAGACUUGAUCUAGCUUCACUCAAUUGGAAUUUGAUAGAACCUUGUGAAGCAAAGUCGGAGAGCACGGCGAGAUCUACGCGUGGGUACCAGCAAUUUCAACUUUAGUGCUCUCUAGGGAGUUCGAAAUUUUAGGGUUCUUGGGAUCAAAUUGGGGGUUUUCAGCAAUUUGAGGAUAUGGAAAAGAGGUGGCGGACAACGGUCCACCACAGGUUUAGAUGAGCUUGAAGACCCAUUCUAUUUUGUUAUCUUUUGUAUUAGACUCUAAUAUUUUGUAAAUGUGAUAUUAACUACCUUGUGACACUUUAGUUUAAUUAGUAUAAUGUUGUAAGUUAUGGACUUUUAAUUCUAGCUACAUUUUAUGGAUUGUAAUUUGAUGUAACUUAAGUGGGUUCCAUGUUUGGAUGAGAUAGAGGAACGAGACUUUUGUAUGUAUAUAACCAUUUUGGGAAUGUAAUAUAAUAUUUGAAUUG